rnacentral:rRNA from 1 species
UACGUAGGUGGCAAGCGUUAUCCGGAAUUAUUGGGCGUAAAGAGCGCGCAGGUGGUUGAUUAAGUCUGAUGUGAAAGCCCACGGCUUAACCGUGGAGGGUCAUUGGAAACUGGUCGACUUGAGUGCAGAAGAGGAGAGUGGAAUUCCAUGUGUAGCGGUGAAAUGCGCAGAGAUAUGGAGGAACACCAGUGGCGAAGGCGGCUCUCUGGUCUGUAACUGACGCUGAUGUGCGAAAGCGUGGGGAGCAAACA